UCAGCGCUGACGUUUCUCUUUCUAAUUAAGUUACGUAUAUGUACAUAUACUUUGGAAUCAAACACUGUACUCGUAAUGAAUACCUUGGUGUAUUUUGGUUCUGCAUGUGUUGUCAGUAAGAUACCGUCAAAGAAGGAAAGCCUCGCUACAUCUCUGUUAACUCUAGACGUUUGUUGUUUGAGGUCAUUUCCAUGACUGAGUAGUUCCCUGAACUCGAUAGUCUCGAAACUUACCCCAAUUGUUGUUGGAAAAUAAUUAUCAGCGCUGACCUUUCUCUUUCUAAUAAAGUUACGUACAUGUAUAUAUACUUUGGAAUCAAACACUGUACUCGUAAUGAAUACAUUGGUAUAUUUCGGUUCUGCUUGUGUCGUCGGUACGAUCAUACCGUCAAAGAUAAAAGAAAACCUUGCUUCAUCUCUGUUAAGGAACCGGUCAACAUUUUUUUCAUGUAUCUUAGUGAUAUUUACCACCUCUUCUAAUGAACCGAGCGAUUUGAGCGCACCCCUUUCAGUAAGGUAUAUCGAUAAUCAUAAGGGAGUCCACUUUAAUUCACCAUCUACUCUAUCGAAUUGACGUAAGUGAACGAAUACUUCAUUUGCGUAGGAGAUAACAAAAAGACCAACCCCUGCUCUAUAAGAUUAUGUCUCCUCAGUUUCCCAAUCUGAUAUUUCACUACCUGUGACAUAUCCACCCAGUAGCUCAACAUCAGAACUGUCCAAACUUUCACAAUCUGACAGUAAAACUUUUUCUAUUUUGCUUUCCCUCUUAGUAAGAAAGACGUAUGGAUUUUCAUCCUCGCUUGAACUAGUAUCCGAAUCUGACACCAUUAUAAUUGUUCAUAAUACAACACAUGGCGUUUUAAUUCUUCCACAUACGAUUAUUUAAUACAAAUUUUCUGAUCCGACACAAAAUGGACAUCCUUGAUAGUUAACAUCAAAUCACUCAUCUUUUCGAAGAAGAAUAGAAUAUAUAGAAUAUAUCAUUUAUUGUCUUCUUCCAAAACAAAAGAAGCUGUACUUCCAGGUGAAUCAUAUUACAUAAAAGAACACAACUUAUAUAAAAUAUAAAUACAAUCAUAUCAAAAUAUCAAUUGCAUAAAAGGAAUGAAUAAAUAAAUAAUACAUUCAUAUAUUACAUAAAACAUUAGGAUAAAGGGAAGAAGACAAAAAAGCAAGAAAUGAGAAGAUGUAUGGGUCAGUGAUAUAUUCUGUAUGCAGUAAGUUAGGAGCUCUAACAGUUUACCCAUGGUGUCACCAACGCCAUCAUCCUGGCAACAUCUCUUUGCUCUGGAUAUAUGCUUUAGUAUAUCAUUUCCGUGAGCGAUGAGUUUCCUGAACUCGAUUGUCUCGAAACUGACACCUAUUGUUGUUGAAAAAUAAUUAUCAGCGCUGACGUUUCUCUUUCUAAUUAAGUUACGUAUAUGUACAUAUACUUUGGAAUCAAACACUGUACUCGUAAUGAAUACCUUGGUGUAUUUUGGUUCUGCGUGUGUUGUCGAUAAGAUACCGUCAAAGAUGGAAAACCUUGCUACAUCUCUGUUAAGGAACCGUCAACAUUUUUUUCAUGUAUCUUAGUGAUAUCUCCCACCUCUUCUAACGAACCGAGCAAUUUGACAGUAAAACUUUUUGUAUUUUGCUUUCCCUCUUAGUAAGAAAGACGAAUGGAUUUUCAUCCUCGCUUGAACUAGUAUCCGAAUCUGACACCAUUAUAACUGUCUGUUUUUGUUUUCUGAUGAUGUUUACAAACUCAUCCAUCUUUAGAGUUUGGAGUCCAUGUUUUGGGGCUUCCUUUACCCCACUUCCGCAUAGGGCUAGAGUGACCCUUUCCUUCUGAUCGAAACGAGAAAAACAAGCAAGGUUGGAUAUUAACAUCCCACCCUUCCACCUACCACCUGGUUACUCCCUCUCUUUUAAACCGAGCAAUUUGAGCGCACCCCUUUCAGUAAGGUAUAUCGAUGAAGGAGUCGAGAAAGAUGAAUGGAUUUUCAUCCUCGCUUGAACUAGUAUCCGAAUCUGACGCCAUUAUAAUUGUCCGUUUUUGUUUUUUGAUGUUUACAAACUCAUCCCCACGUCUUCUACGGAACUGACUAAGAAAGUCUAGAUCUCCAAAUGUUGAUUCCGAUACUAGAUAAGUGAGUUUGCAGCUCUUCAUUCGUGAUCUUAUUUCAUCACUUGGCUUUUUACCGAACUUUCCUCCGGGCAGAAAGUCAUUUUUUCACUUUAAAAGCUGAAAAUGUUAGGCUCUGCCCUAAUCCCAACCUGCCGUCUCAUGGGCCAGUACCAUUUUGCCUACUUGGAGACGUUUUUAGGGUCAAUAUAGUGCAUCCUCUAACAGACUUAAAGUAUGGAGGUAGAUUGGCAAAGUGAAUCCCUGCCAUCCUCCUUGUAAAACUUACAUGGGUCUUUAAUGUCCUGGGAAUGUUGCCUGAAGUUUGUGUGGAUAGUAGGGAGGAAUUCUCUUAGCAAAUUAUUUAGUUGAUCUAUCCUAGAAUUAUAAACAUCAAUGUGGACGUCAUCUAUGUGAGGUCUAGUCUUUUUGCAGGGAAGUAACUCCAUGAACGUGAUAUGGGCUUGUGGGUUCAGGUACCUAACACUGUCUGUUAGGUGAUGGAUGUCCCUCAUAACCUUGUCAGGGGCGAGUGUGGGGCAGAGAUGUCAUUGCCUCCAAUUUGGAAAAUGACGCACUGGUACUUAAAAAUUGAUAAAGAAUGCAAUCUGUUAAUGAGGGAACCUACCGUUGCUCCAGGGAACCCGUGAAUCUCGAUAUUGUCUUUUGCUAGAUUAAGGUUGGGUGAGUACUGGCCAAGGUCUCGUAUGAGGCUGUGUCCAGUGAAUCUCAAUAUUGUCUUUUGCUAGAUUAAGGUUGGGGGAGUACUGGCCAAGGUCUCGUAUGAGGCUGUGUCCCGUGAAUCUCGAUAUUGUCUUUUGCUAGAUUAAGGUUGGGCGAGUACUGGCCGAGGUCCCGUAUGAGGCUGUGUCUCAUGAUUAAGGUAUUUAUCUCGAGGACAAAAUUAUGAAUCCAGUGAUCUUAUACACUUAAAGAAUAUUGUCACAUAAUUUUUCAAGUGUAAAACACAAGUAUCCCUCAACAGGUGCCACAUGCAUCACGCCCUCCACAAAGGCCAUUUAUACUGGAUAGUCCCAUCUCAGAUACCAACCUCUAGAAAAUGUUCAGCAUUUCCAAUACAUUCCAAUGUUGUGGAACAACACUUUCUCUUUUCAUUGAAAUAUGUUUAUUUCUGUACAGUAUAUGAUUAUGUAUUAUAUUGAAAACACAGAAAAUUAAAAAAUAUUUCUGUUUUUGAACAUCGUUUUUGUUUUUUCACUGCUUUCAUGAAUCGUUUUCUUUUUUCAUCAUGUGAAGUCUUGUGAUUCUGCAGAUUGGAAAAAAGUCGGUGGGCUUUUUCCUACCUCAACCACUCUAGUAACGGUUAAAGUGGAGAGCCAUUUUGCAUUAUUAAUUCUUCCGUAAUCCCUUUUUCCUCUCACGAGUGGCAUGGGCUCCCAUUCUGAGAUUUAGGUGUUUGAAAGUUCUGUAGCGACCAUUCUCUGCGCCACAGUUGAACGAAAGAGCAAUGACAAGGUGUGAUCAUACAUUGUAAGAUUUAACGUAUUAAAAAUCCUGUUGCGACUUUGCUCUGCGCCACAGUUGAAUGCAAUCACAGCCAUGUUGACUGCGAUGCGGACAACACGUGGACCUCUCCACAGGUGUUUAGGGCACCGUUUCCAGAUGAGAGCAUUGAAGCUCUCAUUCUGGUUCUGGGUGAUACCUGGGAGGCAUCUCUCAAGGAGGUCUGGAGCACUGAGUCGCGUGAAUAUAGGCAGUAGAUACUUGAGAAACACAGGGUCUAAGUGAUUCUCGCUGUUAUCCAUUUUGCCCUUAUUUUUGUACUCGCACCACCCAUUGUCGGGACAGUAUUGAUGAGACAGUAAAGUUGUCUAAAGCCUUAUACAUCCUCUUCCCUACAUGUCCUACACAUUCUAUUUUACAUACUUUAUGCCCAUUCCCUUAGAGCUUCAGCUUUCUUUCAGAGGCUGUCUGCUUUGGAGGACUAGGUUCUUCAUCAAUCCUGGCUUUUUUCCAGUCUUGCCAUCUGGUUCCAUGAAAACCCUUCCUCUUUUUGACGUAUUUUGGACCUUUUCGACCCAUUUUAGCGAAUACAAAAUUGUGUGUGGAAAGAUAGCAUGGGCUGACUUAGUGGAGUAAAAAAAAUGUUGUACAACCCUCACCUACAGAUGGCAGCAAACACCUUUACAUUGAGUGAUUCUUGUGGAG
rnacentral:lncRNA from 1 species